rnacentral:rRNA from 1 species
AGAGCGAACGCUGGCGGCAGGCUUAACACAUGCAAGUCGAACGCCCGGGCAACCGGGAGUGGCAGACGGGUGAGUAACACGUGGGAACAUGCCCUUCGGUUCGGAAUAACUCGGGGAAACUCGUGCUAAUACCGGAUACGUCCGUAAGGAGAAAGAUUUAUCGCCGAAGGAUUGGCCCGCGUCCGAUUAGCUAGUUGGUGGGGUAAAAGCCCACCAAGGCGACGAUCGGUAGCUGGUCUGAGAGGAUGAUCAGCCACACUGGGACUGAGACACGGCCCAGACUCCUACGGGAGGCAGCAGUGGGGAAUAUUGGACAAUGGGCGCAAGCCUGAUCCAGCCAUGCCGCGUGAGUGAUGAAGGCCCUAGGGUUGUAAAGCUCUUUCGGCGGGAAGAUAAUGACGGUACCCGCAGAAGAAGCCCCGGCUAACUUCGCGCCAGCAGCCGC